ensembl:lncRNA
GUCUUGAUAGGGCACAGUGUCUUGGUAGGGCAGUUUCUUGGUAGAGCAGUAACUUGGUUGGGCAGUAACUUGGUAGGGCAGUAACUUGGUAGAGCAGUUUCUGGUAUGGCAGUAACUUGGUAGGGCAGUGUCUUGGUAGGGCAGUGUCUUGGUAGAGCAGUGUCUUGAUAGAGCAGUGUCUUGGUAGGGCAGUGUCUUGAUAGAGCAGUGUCUUGGUAGGGCAGUUUCUUGGUAGAGCAGUGUCUUGGUAGGGCAGCUUCUUUUUGGCAAAGCAGUUUAAUAAAUAGUGGAUACUGUACACACACACACACACACACACAC